rnacentral:lncRNA from 1 species
GUGAAUUUUGCGAAAACAAAUUAACAAGUGCGAAAAUACCAUACAAAAGCACUUCCCAUUACUAAAUUUGUUUAUUUUAUAGAUACUGAUAUUUUCUAUUAAAUGGAUUGCCUUUAUUUAACGUAAUUUGGUUCAUUCAAAAGCCAAGGGCCAUGCAAAGUCAAGAUAAAGCACUGCAAAGUGCAAACAAAACUUCAUUUUGGCAUUGUAUAUUUUCUUUAAAUCACUUGUAAAGGACUUUACUCUCAAACUAAAUUUGACAUCAAUACAUAGUCAACAAGGCCUAGAACACUAUAACAAACAAUAUUUUUUCGUUUAACUAAGAGAAAAAUAAUAAUUCGUUUCAAAAACUAAAUAUAAUGCAACUUACAUCGCUGUUGUUUUCGUGCAACUGACAUGAUAUUUUUUGUGUCUUUCGUAUUCCUUUUCAAAAAAUAGAUUCAUAUUUGUCUUUUGUAGUGUUAUAAAUCUUUUGCAAACAUACGAGUUAAAUUGUCCAAUUCAAAUUAAAAAUUGACUUUAAACAGCAAGAAAAAGGCAGCAAACUAAAUAAAAUUCUGCCAAAAGCAUUGCCGACAGUGAACGAAUUCGCUCGUACGUAAACAAUUGGGCGAAACGUUUUUCACACGUGUGAAAUAAUCGUUUCGCGUUUCAGAUCGGUUGACGUUAAUCUUGAAAGGGCUUUUCACAUUAAUAAAACCGUGCGUAAAUAUCAGUAUCUAUAUAAUAAAGGUAACUUUCGUAAUAAUAUACAUAAAAAUAUUACUUGAUUGUGAUUGGUUGAUUUCAGUGCAGUUAAUCCCUUUUCUGUAAUCACAGUGCAAUUUUCUGUGAUCACAGUGCAAUUUUCUGUGAUCACAGUGCAAUUUUCUGUAACAAACUGAUCUGAUUGGUGGAAAAACAUGAUGAUGAUAAAAUCAACCAGUGAGUUUAAAGCAAUUUAGUUUAAAGAAGUAACGGUCACAGAUUGCUUCAAAACAAAACGAACAUGGCGCCGCGCUACAUAAAGUAAAAGUUGACUUCGCGUAGAAAAUAUGGCUUUUAUCUUUAUUUUUAAAUGGAAAAGCCUUUACCUUAGACAAGACAAACAAACAUUCCACUGUUGAGUGGGAUUUUGCAAGCUGUUAGCGUUGUAUAAUGUGAUAUAACAAAGCUGGGAAAACUUUGCCAGUGGAAUGUUCGCUAUAAACGCGUAAGUUAAAAAUACAAUUGUCUCGAACAUUUUUAUGUAAAUUAUUAACAUUUUUACGUAAAUUAUUAAUAAUAGUUGUAUCCAAAUUGCACUCGAAACCAUGCUGUUAACUAUACUAAAACAUUGCUAUUGGUUAGUUGGGCAAAAACACAAUACGCACGUGACGGUGAAGGACCUGAUUUAUGAAUAAACGUUGACUAACAUAGAUAAUAGUUAUAUUGUUAUUCUAAUGGUUUCCAAACCGUCUAUUUUAUUAACUAUGGUUUUGUAGAAGUUCAUGCUUCACAUAAUAAAACUGUUCAAGUUUGGAUGAACAAUUUUGCUGGAAUUGUUUUAUACUGUGCCAUUCAGUCAGUAUAGAAUGGUUGUUUAAUUAGUCAGUGAAGUUAUUUUAUAUUUGUAAUUUACUGUAGUGAGGUAUUUUAAUCAGUGAUUUUAUGGUAAUUGUGUUGACCACGAUAUAGCCAAUGAUCAGAGAAAUACAACCAGUUUGAUUUCCUAAUAAUAAAUAAUUCAUGUAUAAUUUAAAUCGAAUAAAUAAUUUCUUGGGACAAUUGUCUAUAAUGAGUGUCAGAGUGCGAGGGAAGAUGAAAAACGUCCAGUUCGUGUAUUUGUAGUUUUCAAAUUGUGUGUUCGUGUAUUUGUAGUUUUCAAAUUGUGUGUUCGUGUAUUUGUAGUUUUCAAAUUGUGUGUUCGUGUAUUUGUAGUUUUCAAAUACAUUUUUCCCAUUUUGUUUUUCUUUUUCUCUUCUUUCUUAUUUCCACAUUUUCUUUUUUAUUGCCGCAAAAUCCCUUGUUUUCUUGAAAAUGUAACCCCUUGUUUUCGUUUAAUUUGCUAAAGGAAUUGUUUUGGAAGAGGAGUAAAAUUCCAGCCUCAAAUAAUCAGGAAAUGAACAAGAAAUGCAGACGUUUCUGUUUUCUUGUACUUAUGCUUGUCUUUAUAUCGUUGACGAUUUCUAGGAUUGACAAUCCUUCAGGAAUUGGUAUUUGUUCUGUCCUUAUGUAAGUCCUGUCAUCUCUUGUACUUCAUCUCUUGUACUUCAUUCGAAUAUAAAUGUAUUUAAAUGGAAGCUUCGGAUUGAUAUAGGGGUGCAACUGCCCGAAAAAUACAAGGAGAACUUCGACGUUUCGAGCGAAGGCCCUUCUUCGUCGGGAAGUUACUAUAUAUAAAUGGCUAUAUAUAUAUAUAUAUAUAUAUAUAUAUAUAUAUAUAUAUAUAUAUAUAUAUAUAUAUAUAUAUAUAUAUAUAUAUAUAUAUAUAUAUAUAUAUAUAUAUAUAUAUAUAUAUAUCGUGAGACGAAUAAGCAACUCUUUUGAUUGUAAACUUUUCUCAAGCAAUGUAAAACAUUGUCCCAAUAUCAUGAACAUUUACAUUUGAAUAAAUUUCAUGAAACGUAACCAGGAAUAUUGAUUCAAAUACGACAAUUCGGACUUUACAGGAUAUCCUGCUGUCCUUGCAAUUAAUUAAUUAGAUCACAAAUGACUUACUAUAGUAUGAUCACAAAUGACUUACUAUAAUAAUAAGAAAUUUAUAGGUUUGAAAGUUGACGAAAUUAUAUGCUAAUUAAGAUCACCAGGGGUGGAAAAUAUAGCGGACCAAUGGUUCCAGAAAAUAUUUUUUGCUGGCAGAAAGAAAAAAAGGAAGGAAGAAAAAGGGGGAAAGAAAGAAAAGCAAAGAAAGAAAAAAAGGAAGGGCAGAAAAAGAAUAGAAAGAAAGAGACUAACUCAUAGAUAUCUUAUAUACACUAGAUAGCGCAUCUCUUUUAAUAAAAUUGAAGCCAAGAAUAUCCCAGCGGUUACUCCCAUUUGAAUAGAUGGCGGCCAUAUUGGUCGUUCCCACUUGCUAAUAAACGCUUAAAAACAACAAUAACUUUCAUCAUUUGAAUAGUUUAAAAAUGUAUUUGGAAUAGGUUUAACUUAAUGUUUAAGUUCCCUGUUUAAGAAAUAGAAAACAUACGAAUCUUCUCAUUUCAUGGGAACGACCUGAGACUGCAAUCACGGCUUCAAUUUUUGAAUUGCAGAAUAAUUAGAUGCACUAUCUAGUGUAUAUAAGAUAUCUAUGGACUAACUGCACCAAUAAGUAGCCAUUUUGUUCAGGGACAGACACUAGGUGUAGGGGGUGCCCCCAAAAUAAUUUCUGAAAGAACUUUGAUAGCGUAAUGUAGCCGCAUUUGCAGGCAACAUUGUUCUACCCCUUUGGCCCUUUGUUGGCUUUGUAUCAUACCACUGUCUUACCUUAUUAGCAUGACUUUACAUACACGUAUUUAGUAUUGCUUAUUAGUUGGUAUAAAUAUCUGCAAAUGCAAAAUGUUUUGUGGUAGUAUGACAUACUGUCCAUAUCGAGUAAUACAAGAAAUACAAAUGAAGUUAUUGAUAUAAAGGAAGACUUACUUUACAGAUGAGUACCCUAUUUACGGCGUAUAAUUGAAGAAGUUUGGGUUAGUUAAACAGCCUAUUGACUGUCAGCAUUCAUGAUUUCAAGGCAUUUAGAUCUUCAAGGCAUUUAGAUCGACGAACUUUUUCGUCGCUUGGCGUAAGAAUAACAAAGUCUGCGAGCAGGCUAUUUAGAUCUCUUCUCAAACCAGAAAGAGAUAAAUUUCGAUAAUUUUAUCACAGUUUCGUCAGUUGAUUUCAUUAUCUUAACUGGUAAACUGUGUUCAUUAGAUCUGCUUAUGAUCUGCUUCAUUGGUGGGAUCACAUUCCAAGUAAUUUAAAAAGUAUUCCCAAAGACUUAGGCUUCACAGGAAGUGAUGUUCCAUUUCAAUUUCUCCCGAGUCCUGACUGGCAGACCUUGCAUACUCUGUCUUCUUGUCUGAUAAACAAAAUAUGGAAUUUAUUUUUCCCCAAAGUGUCUGCCAUUGUUUAUAUUAUAUAAAACACAACUAAAGGCAAUCAUAGUUAAUAGAAAAUAAACAUCGUUAGGAAGAUUGAUAAACUUCAAGUAGUUUCCUAACCAAACUUCAAUUGAUGUUGAAAACUUGAAAUGUACCUGAAAGUACACAAUUUGUUGAUCAAUACUAAAAUCUUACGGUUGAAGUCUGAGGUUUCCAUUGGGCAAUUGCUUCAUUAUCUAGAACAAAAUGUUCACUCACUGUGAAAGUGCACAAAUUUCCAUAAAGGCGAACAAAAGCAUAGAACUUACAAUACCUUUUGUCCAGCUUCCAAAUCACAUUUGUUUUCAGACUACUAAUUAUGAUGCAACUAUUAAUAAAGUUUAGAACCGCUUUCCAAUUUUCACAAAUUCACAGUCUUUCCUCACUUGUUUAUUUCAAUUAAAUCCUUUCCUCAGCUGCUUUAUGAAAGAAAAUCUUGUAGGACUGCCACAGCUUUUAUAUGGUACUAUGGUUAUUUAAUAAUUCUUAAGUCUUAUUUGUCCUCUUUGCAAGUGAGCCUUUACAGUGCGUCUACUGUAAGUGGGGCCACUUAGAGAACACUAACCAAUCACAUUGCAGAACAGAAAGUGAAAAAAUCAACAAACGGCGCAUUAGCCAAUCAGCAUUAGGGCAAAAACAAUUCGAACAAAUAAACGAAUGUCAAACGGUAAAAGUAGACAUGUAAAAGUAAACAUUGCAGUUAAUGGCUUCCUGAAUCUUUCUUUUGAUUGGACGAGCUUUAGUUUGAUUAGAUUUUUCUUUCUGUUCUGCAAUGCGAUUGGUUAGUGUUCUCUAAGUGGCCCCACUUACAGUAGACGCACUGUAAUUAAUUUAAAUUAUACAUGACUUGUGUCGACAACUCGCAGAAAAUUUUCCCACUUCGUUGCGGCCCCAGAAAAUAAAAUAUUUUUUCCACCCCUAAGAUCACAUAUCCAGUUGCCGUCACUGCAUGUUGUGAUUUCCAAUGUUUAUCGCUUAUUGUUAUGUCCCCGCCAAAACCUACAGAGUAGCAGUCGAGAGCUCCUACAGUACUCAGUUGUUUAAAUUAUGUAUGAGGGCAUCUAAUAACGUUAUUACAAUAUAUUAGAGAAGAAUAUGUAGUACGAAAUUUUUGGAAGCGUGUCAGUCCUAGUAGUCGUAACAUCGUUACAUCACACCUCGUGACAAUUGCCAAUUGGCCCAGGAUGGCUUUGAAACGUAUGAAGGCAGGAAGUAACGAUAGAGGUUGAAGAAAAAGGAUAGGAUGAGGUAAACAAGAAGUAGAAAAUAUAAUGUCUAGCUAGACAACAGCAAGUGUUCACAGGUAACUCAAAGUACUUUAAAUCGUCUCACGUCUGUUUGCAUUGUAAAGCCUGCGAAUACACAAUUCCAGCUAUCGACUUUUUUUAUCUAGACAAGAAAGACGAAAUAUAUCAUUAGCUCAAAACAGCAUCCUAAAAUUAGUAAAAUUGCAAAGUUUGGUUGCGAAAUGUUGUAAAAUACGGAAAGUACAGCUCUGCAAAUUUUAGUAUUACUCGCGGUAAAAAUAUAAACCAUUAGCCGAAAGUUUUAGUAUUAUCGUAAAAAUUAACCAUUUUUGAGCCGAAAGUGGUUAUUUUUACCGCACGUAAUACUAAUACUAAAAUACUUAAAAUUUGCUAAUUUCACAGAGCUAUAUUUUCCGUAUUUUAUAACAUUUCGCAACCAAACUUUGCAAUUUUACUAAUUUUAGGAUGCUCUUUUGAGCUAUAAUGAUAUAUUUCGUCUUUCUUGUCUAGAUAAAAAGUUAGUCGAUAGCUGGAAUUGUCCAUUAUGCUGUUUUCGUAAAAAUAGAUACAAUGUCAAUGAAGUAAGUUACACUUGGUCUUGGUUAAGAAAAGGGAAGAUUUCCACUCUUCAAAGUCUGGAAAACACAUUUUGCUCUUUCUAUACAUUUAAUCGAUGAGCCAUGCACGGAACUUCAGAUCGCAAUGCAAGCUAAGCCCUAAGUUGCUAUGAGAGUUCAGUGAAUGAAGAUAUCAACAACGACACAAUGCCUAAAAUCAGUAUAACUUGUAGUAUAUACAAAAAACAUGAAAUAAAAUUACAAUUAAAUGAAUUGAUAAUUAUUUUGUUCUAUGCAUGACUAGGCCUAUGGGAUUGUCAUCAAGAGUUAUCUUGGAAUCCUGAUGUUUCCUACCAUCUUAAUCCUGCUCUUUCCCUAACAGCAGGUGCACAGGUAAGAUGUAUAUAUAGUUAUAGGCACGGAUCUUAAUAAAGGCAUAUGUGACAUAGCUAGGCUUGUGUAAGUUUUAUACCACAAUGGCAAUGCAAGAUAUUAAGUAUACGAGCCAUAUGACAAUAGUUCUUUUGGGUAGUAGCUCAGUUUAUUAUUCAGUUAAAUUAUGAUUUUAUUUUUUACAAAGAUCAAGGUCGGGAAUAAACAACUCUGCGUUUGAAUAUACCAGUUCAAACUUACGUCAUUACAGUUGAGUUAUAUAUAUAUAGUAUGACAACGUGCGCCCUCACGUUCACUCCCUAAUGUAAGGAAUGUGCAGAUUUUGAAGUUUAUUCGGCAUGUUAUGCAGGGUGUGUUAUAGACCACCUAAUAACUCUCUAGAAGAAACAGGGACUCCCGUCCUGUAGUCCUUACCAUCAGUC